AAUUAUAGAAUCUUGUUG
rnacentral:snRNA from 1 species